rnacentral:rRNA from 1 species
CACGUAGGCGGAUUGUUAAGUCAGGGGUGAAAUCCUGGAGCUCAACUCCAGAACUGCCUUUGAUACUGGCAAUCUCGAGUCCGGGAGAGGUGAGUGGAACUGCGAGUGUAGAGGUGAAAUUCGUAGAUAUUCGCAAGAACACCAGUGGCGAAGGCGGCUCACUGGCCCGGUACUGACGCUGAGGUGCGAAAGCGUGGGGAGCAAACA